rnacentral:rRNA from 1 species
UUGCUUGUUNUNCAAAGAUUAAGCCAUGCAUGUGUAAGUACGAGCCUUCCUUAGGGUGAAACCGCAAACGGCUCAUUAAAUCAGUCAUAAUUUAUUGGUUGUCGUUAUCUUAUACUCGGAUAACUGUGGCAAUUCUAGAGCUAAUACGUGCACUUGAGCUCCGACGCCGGGAGGAGUACGAACUUUUUUGUUCUUCUUUUCCCGGGGGAAGGGCGCAGUUAUUAGAAUCCUAAACCGAGGCGGACUCUCGAGUCCGAAUCCACUUGGCUAUGGUGACUCUGGAUAACGUUUGCCAAGCGCUGAGGCCAUCGAGCCGGCGCUGCAUCUUUUUCGAGUGACUGACCUAUCAGCUGUCGAUCGUAGCGUAUAGGCCUACGAUGGCAGUAACGGGUAACGGGGAAUCAGGGUUCGAUUCCGGAGAGGGAGCCUGAGAAACGGCUACCACAUCUAAGGAAGGCAGCAGGCACGCAAAUUACCCAAUCCCAGCUCUGGGAGGUAGUGACGAUAAAUACCGAUGCGGGACUCAUCCGAGGCCUCGCAAUCGGAAUGAGCCCACUUUAAAAAAUUGGGCGAGGAUCGAUUGGAGGGCAAGUCUGGUGCCAGCAGCCGCGGUAAUUCCAGCUCCAAUAGCGUAUAUUAAAGUUGUNNNNNNNNNNNNNAAAGCAGGCACAACCUUUUAUGCCCGCAUAGUAAUGCAUUGAAUGAUGGAACAGGACCUCGAUUCAGACCGUAUUUUCUCCUCGGUUUUAUCCGAAUCGGAGGUAAUGAUUAACGGGGACGGCCGGGGGCAUUAGUAUUGCGACGCGAGGGGUGAAAUCCAGUGACCGUCGCAAGACUACCUACUGCGAAAGCAUUUGCCAAGAAUGUUUUCAUUAAUCAAGAACGAAAGUUAGAGGAUCGAAGGCGAUCAGAUACCGCCCUAGUUCUAACCUUAAACUAUGCCAACUAGCGAUCCGUGCGAAGUCAUAUCCAAAGACUGCGCGGGCAGCCCCAGGGAAACCAAAGUUUUUAGGUUCCGGGGGUAGUAUGGUUGCAAAGCUGAAACUUAAAGGAAUUGACGGAAGGGCACCACCAGGAGUGGAGCCUGCGGCUUAAUUUGACUCAACACGGGGAACCUCACCAGGCCCGGACACCGGAAGGAUUGACAGAUUGAGAGCUCUUUCUCGAUUCGGUGGUUGGUGGUGCAUGGCCGUUCUUAGUUGGUGGAGCGAUUUGUCUGGUUAAUUCCGAUAACGAACAAGACUCUAUCCUACUAACUAGUCGGCGGAUCGUUUCCCGAGACGGGUUUAACUCUCUCUCCCGACUCGUUGGCCGGUUGGGCGGCGGCGUUGAGGCGUCGGUUCUUCUCGCGCGAUUGUUCCUCUACUCGCGGGGCUCCUUACAACAGGGGGUUUCGCGGCGUAGUUGGAGCGUCGCGCGCUAAAGGGGAGGAUCGAUCCGCUUCCGCCGUCGUUCGCCGCCGCGGGAAAGGGUUUUUGAGAGUCCCAACGAGGGGCGUCCGUCGUGUUAAUCUUCUUAGGGGGACCGGCGGUCUUGAACCGUACGAGAUUGAGCAAUAACAGGUCUGUGAUGCCCUUAGAUGUCCUGGGCCGCACGCGUGCUACAAUGGAGGGAGCAACGUGCUUUCCCCCUCCGAGAGGAGUGGGUAACCCCAUGAAACCCCUUCCCGAUUGGGAUUGGGGGUUGCAAUUGUUCCCAUGAACGAGGAAUCCCUUGUAAGCGCGGGUCAUGAGCUCGCGAUGAAUACGUCCCUGCCCUUUGUACACACCGCCCGUCGCUACUACCGAUGAAUGAUUAAGUGAGAGCGUCGGACCGGCGCCCUCGGCAGCCUCUCGGAUCGCUAACGCCGAGCCUAACGGACAAAGCUAUCUUCUAUACUCUUCGGAGAGAGUCGAUGGCGGUCAUUCGUUAACGCUCGGUAGACCGAGUAGAGCGCCCCGGGCUUGGCCGGAAAGACGUCCGAACUUGAUUAUUUAGAGGAAGUAAAAGUCGUAACAAGGUAUCUGUAGGUGAACCUNGGGAAAGGAUCA